UACGGAGGGUGCAAGCGUUGUUCGGAAUUACUGGGCGUAAAGGGCUCGUAGGCGGCCAACUAAGUCGGACGUGAAAUCCCCAGGCUCAACCUGGGAACUGCGUCCGAUACUGAUUGGCUUGAAUCCGGGAGAGGGAUGCAGAAUUCCGGGUGUAGCGGUGAAAUGCGUAGAUAUCUGGAGGAAUACCGGUGGCGAAGGCGGCAUCCUGGACCGGCAUUGACGCUGAUGAGCGAAAGCUAGGGGAGCAAACAGG
rnacentral:rRNA from 1 species